rnacentral:rRNA from 1 species
GUGAGGAAUAUUGGUCAAUGGGCGGGAGCCUGAACCAGCCAAGUCGCGUGAAGGAAGAAGGAUCUAUGGUUCGUAAACUUCUUUUGCAGGGGAAUAAAGUGCAGGACGUGUCCUGUUUUGUAUGUACCCUGAGAAUAAGGAUCGGCUAACUCCGUGCCAGCAGCCGCGGUAAUACGGAGGAUCCGAGCGUUAUCCGGAUUUAUUGGGUUUAAAGGGUGCGUAGGUGGUUUGAUAAGUCAGCGGUGAAAGUUUGCAGCUUAACUGUAAAAAUGCCAUUGAAACUGUCGGACUUGAGUGUAAAUGAGGUAGGCGGAAUGCGUGGUGUAGCGGUGAAAUGCAUAGAUAUCACGCAGAACUCCGAUUGCGAAGGCAGCUUACUAAGCUACAACUGACACUGAAGCACGAAAGCGUGGGGAUCAAACAGGAUUAGAUACCCUUGUAGUCC